rnacentral:tRNA from 1 species
GGGGUGUAGCUCACAUGGUAGAGCGUUCCCUUAGCAUGGGAAAGGUACGGGGAUCGAUACCCUGCACCUCCA